CGCCUUUCUGUGACACGAGUGGGCCAUCCACCAAACACUGGCAUCUGGAAGAGGGACAUUAAAGGAAGCGGGGGAGGGGAAGACAGUAUAUGAGAUAUGCCCUUUAGCAGCCGUACAGCUGAGCUGCAAAUGUGCUCAGGUACUGCUGCUACUGCUUGGAAGUAGAAAGAACCAAUAAUGCUGGAAUUCACAGGGCUUCCUCUCUAUAGCCCUCAUGUCUGUGCUGGCAUGCUGCUCUUAAUGAGCUAAUUGUGUUUGUUAAUUGACAGUAAUGGAGCUUAGUUAAAGUUGCAUAUUAAUUAAGACAUUUCC